ACGCGAGCUGGGUUCAGAACGUCGUGAGACAGUUCGGUCCCUAUCCGUCGCAGGCGUAGGAAAUUUGAGAAGACCUGUCCUUAGUACGAGAGGACCGGGAUGGACGUACCUCUGGUGUACCAGUUGUCCUGCCAAGGGCAUGGCUGGGUAGCUAUGUACGGAAUGGAUAAGCGCUGAAAGCAUCUAGCGCGAAGCCAACUUCAAGAUAAGAUUUCCCACCGCAAGGGUAAGACCCCAGAAAGACUAUCUGGUUGAUAGGUCGAAGGUGUAAGUGCAGCAAUGUAUUUAGCUUAUCGAUACUAAUAGGUCGAG
rnacentral:rRNA from 1 species